GCUAGCUCAUUGUCUCGUGAUAGAAGAGGAUUGCUAUGGCAUCUCUAGCGGCAUGGUUGAGUUGCAGUGAUCUACAAUCAAAACUACAGAAAUAUAAAAUGAUACAGUCUUCACAGUGUGUCUGUCUGGAGAGGAAAAUUGGAUUAGAAUCAAUCUAAACAUCAUGGCAUAGACAGAGAA